UACGGAGGGUGCAAGCGUUAUCCGGAUUCACUGGGUUUAAAGGGAGCGUAGGAGGGCAGGUAAGUCAGUGGUGAAAUCUUCGAGCUUAACUCGGAAACUGCCGUUGAUACUAUCUGUCUUGAAUACCGUGGAGAUGAGCGGAAUAUGUCAUGUAGCGGUGAAAAUGCUUAGAUAUGACAUAGAACACCAAUUGCGAAGGCAGCUCGUUACACGAAUAAUUGACUCUGAGGCUCGAAAGCGUGGGGGAUCAAAACAGG
rnacentral:rRNA from 1 species